AGAGUUUGAUUCUGGCUCAGAACGAACGCUGGUGGCGUGUCUUAUACAUGCAAGUCGGGCGAGGCAGCAAUGCCGAGCGGCGAACGGGUGAGUAACGCGUAAGCAAUCUGCCCCAUAUCAGGAAAUACCCGUGCCAACGCGCGGUUAAUGUCCAGGAGAGUGGCCCCCUGCAUGGAGGGUUGACUAGAGAUUUAUCGGUACGGGAUGAGCUUGCGUCCGAUUAGCUAGUUGGCGGGGCAACGGCCCACCAAGGCGACGAUCGGUAGCCGGCCUGAGAGGGUGAUCGGCCACAUUGGGACUGAGAUACGGCCCAGACUCCUACGGGAGGCGGCAGUAGGGAAUAUUGCACAAUGGGGGAAACCCUGAUGCAGCAACGCCAACCGUGUGGGAAGAAGCAUUUCGGUGUGUAAACCACUGUCAUGAGGGAAUAAGGCCCGCCUUCGGACGGGAUUGAAUGUACCUUGAGAGGAAGCACCGGCAAACUUCGUGCCAGCCGCCGC
rnacentral:rRNA from 1 species